GAUGAACGCUGGCGGCGUGCCUAAUACAUGCAAGUCGAGCGAACGGACGAGAAGCUUGCUUCUCUGAUGUUAGCGGCGGACGGGUGAGUAACACGUGGAUAACCUACCUAUAAGACUGGGAUAACUUCGGGAAACCGUAGCUAAUACCGGAUAAUAUUUUGAACCGCAUGGUUCAAAAGUGAAAGACGGUCUUGCUGUCACUUAUAGAUGGAUCCGCGCUGCAUUAGCUAGUUGGUAAGGUAACGGCUUACCAAGGCAACGAUGCAUAGCCGACCUGAGAGGGUGAUCGGCCACACUGGAACUGAGACACGGUCCAGACCCCUACGGGAGGCAGCAGUAGGGAAUCUUCCGCAAUGGGCGAAAGCCUGACGGAGCAACGCCGCGUGAGUGAUGAAGGUCUUCGGAUCGUAAAACUCUGUUAUUAGGGAAGAACAUAUGUGUAAGUAACUGUGCACAUCUUGACGGUUCCUAAUCAGAAAGCCACGGCUAACUACGUG
rnacentral:rRNA from 1 species